rnacentral:tRNA from 1 species
UUGAUAGAAACCAAAUCAGAGGUAUAUCACUGUUAAUGAUAAAAUUGAAUUUUCCAUUCCUAUCAAG